UUUCUGUGUAAAACAUAAGGCUCUAUUUAUAGCCUUAAAGAAGGUGGUUGGUGGUUGAAUUCUUCAUUCAACAAUGGAGGCUUCAACAAUGGUGGCUUCUAGAAUGGGUUGGUGGCUUCAACAAUGGUGGGCUUCUAGAAUUGGUAGUUGGCAGCAGCUGAACUUAUCAAUUCUCCCCCUUCAGCUGCAUUCCAACGCAGCUACUAUUUGAAAGUUAUUCCAACUAUGUCUCUGCACAGCUCUAACUUUUCUUGAGUGACCACCUUUGUUAACAUGUCUGCUGGAUUCUCCUUCGUAUGGAUCUUCACUAGUUUCAACAGUUGUUGAUUCA